CUACGGGGUGCAGCAGCAGGGAAUAUUGCACAAUGGACGGAAGUCUGAUGCAGCGACGCCGCGUGGAUGAUGAAGGCCCUCGGGUUGUAAAAUCCUUUUCAGGGGGACGAGGAAGGACGGUACCCUUGGAAUAAGCGUGGGCUAACUACGUGCCAGCAGCCGCGGUAAGACGUAGGACGCAAGCGUUAGCCGGAUUUACUGGGCGUAAAGCGUCUGUAGGCGGAAUGGUAAGUUGGACGUGAAAGCUCCGGGCUCAACUCGGAGAGGUCGUUCAAUACUGCCAAACUAGAGGGCAUCAGAGGAGCGUGGAAUUUCCGGUGUAGCGGUAAAAUGCGCAGAUAUCGGAAGGAACACCAAUGGCGAAGGCAGCGCUCUGGGAUGAACCUGACGCUAAGAGACGAAAGCUAGGGGAGCGAACAGGAUUAGAUACCCGGGUAGUC
rnacentral:rRNA from 1 species